ACAUGUUCCCAGCUGUGGGAGCCAUGCUGCCCUGCCAGCCUCCUGCGGGGGCCUGGCAGGAACUCUGUGCAGAGCCCAGAGCAGGUGGCCUCUGACUGACCCCUCCUGGAGCUGGGGGGAUGGAGGAAGCACAUGCCAGGGCUGAAAGUUGCAGGAACUGGGGCACCAGCGUUUCUGUUGGUAAAGAAAUGGGGAGCGAAGUUGCUAGGACCACGCUUACAGUUGGGUAUCAUUCGAAGGGCGUUUUUCCCAUGUUGACCUGUCAGUGCACCUGUGUCUCUUUCUCAGGUGCUGUGCUGGGUGUUGGGGAUACAAAGCCGAACAGGGUUGCGGGCUGAAAUGUGUCCCCUAAAGCUCGGUUGAAGCCCUAGCCUCUGGUACCCGUGAAUAUGACCUCAUUUAGUCGCAGGGGCUUUGCAGAUGGAACAGCCGAGUGAAGAUGGGGCCAGGCUGGGCCCCUAAUCCAAUAUGACUGGCCUCCUUAUGACAAGGGAGAUUUGGAUUCAGAGACUCUGAAGGAAGAGCUUGUGAAGACAAAGGCAGAGAUUAGAGAGAAGCUGCCACAAGCCAAGGAGCCCUGGGGCUACUGGAGGCUCAGAGGGACAAGGAGGGCCCUCCUCGCUUUCAGGCUUCAUCCUCCAGCACGGCAGGAGAGGUUCUGUAGAUUUAAAUACACGCUGCUUGUGACACUGUGUUGUGGCCAGCCCGGGGGCCCUGCAUUCACAGCACAGCAGGGACAAUGGUCGUUCUGCUGUCAUCCGCCGGCCCCGUUCUUGUCCGUAGGAUAGCAUGUAACGAGCAUCCCCAGCGCUUUCCUCUUCCGAGCAAUUCAGACGCUUCUCGAUGGAUGGUUUUGCUCAUGGUGCCUAUGGCUGGUCAAUAGUGUGGAUGAAUAGUGUGGUUUCCGUCAUGGCCCAGUGGUUAACAAGCCCGACUAGGAACCGUAAGGUUGCAGGUUCAAUCCCUGGCCUCGCUCAUUCUUUCUCAUUUUUUUUAAAUGACCGAAUAUUAGAAUAAAUACCAUACCAGCAAUCAAGGAAUCCUGUGCUAGGAGUUCCCGUUGUGGCUCAGCGGUUAAUGGACCUGACUAGCACCCAGGAGGACACGGGUUCGAUCCCUGGCCUUGCUCAGGGAUCCGGGUUAAGGAUCCGACAUUGCCGUGAGCUGUGGUGUAGGUCACAGAUGCAGUUCAGAUCCUGCGUUGCUGUGGCUGUGGCGUGGGCCCACAGCUACAGCUCCAAUUGGACCCCUGGCCUGGGAACCUCCAUAUGCCACAGGUGUGGCCCUAAAAGACAAAAGUCCAAAAAAAAAGAAAAA
rnacentral:lncRNA from 1 species